UACGUAGGGGUCGAGCGUUGUCCGGAGUUACUGGGCGUAAAGCGUGUGCAGGCGGCUCAUUGCGCCCGGCGUGAAAGCCCCCGGCUCAACCGGGGAGGGUCGUCGGGGACGGGUGAGCUUGAGGGUAUCAGGGGCAGGUAGAAUUCCCGGUGUAGUGGUGAAAUGCGCAGAUAUCAGGAGGAACACCGGUGGCGAAGGCGGUUCUCUGGGCAUUACCUGACGCUGAGGAGCGAAAGCGUGGGGAGCAAACAGG
rnacentral:rRNA from 1 species